rnacentral:rRNA from 1 species
CAGCCGCCGCGGUAAUACGAGGGGUGCAAGCGUUAUUCGGAUUGAUUGGGUGUAAAGGGUGUGCAGACGGCUUAUUAAGUCACUUGUUAAAUUCUUCGGCCUAACUGAAGGUCUGCAAGUGAUACUGAUGAGCUAGAGGGUGGAAGAGAGAAGUGGAAUUCUCGGAGUAGCGGUAAAAUGCGUAGAUCUCGAGAGGAACACCAAUGGCGAAGGCAGCUUCUUGGUCCAUUCCUGACGUUCAUACACGAAAGCGUGGGGAGCGAACAGGAUUAGAUACCCGCGUAGUCCCUGUCUCUUAUAC